GGCAGUAUGGUGUAGUGGCUUGAGUGCUGGGCUAGAAACUGGAAGACCAGGGUUCAAAUCCCAGCUCAGCUA